CUGCUCUCUACUUUUAUUUUUCAAAGUAAAAACCUAGCUCACAAUUUUGAGACAAGGACCAGGUGCUUGCAACAUGCAAAUAAGGAUCAAUGUUUGUUUCCACAAUAUUUGUUAAGCAAAAUGGACAUAAGCACCUUCUGGAAGUGGCCUAAGAAGUUGAUUUAUGUAUACUAUUUUGUUUCUGUUUUGGUCCUGACUUAUUAAGUUGUUCAGAUUUCAUAUCAGUAAAAUGGACAUGUUCCAAGUGAUUACAUUUUCAUCAUCUAAUCAUUGAGAAACUAUGACAUUCUCAGUAUAACUACAGUCCAUUUCAUCCCAAUAACGAAUUAGGAUCUUCACCUUGUCCAUAUGUU
rnacentral:lncRNA from 1 species